rnacentral:lncRNA from 1 species
CUGCAUAUCCAGCAGGGGCUCAGAGCAACCUAGCAGCUCCACCACCACCUGUAGGUUAUCCCACUAAGGAUGAUCUUCCUUCCCAACAAAAUGUUCCUGUCAAAACCACUACCAGGGGUGAUGGCUUCUGGAAGGGAUGGUCAGUUAAUUUAUAUCCAAAAUCUUACUUCGUCUAAAUAAUUAAGGCAUUUUUUUGUAAAAAGAUCUAAUUUAAUUGACCCAAGAAUACAUGAAUUGUUAUAAAUUUUAAUAAUAUCUUUGAUUCUUACCGAUAAAAAAAAAUGUUAUUUUAAUUCAUUAAUCAAUAGCACUUUACAUCAUCUCAUCAUGUUUUGAUUUCUGAAAAGCAUGUACUUUGUUUUUCUUGCAGUUGUGCGGGCUUGUGCUGUUGCUGUGCCCUGGAUUGUUGUCUCUGAUUGAACAUCCCUGCAGUACUUUAUGGAUUUGAGCUUGUUCUCUCUGUCUUUUGUUAUUUUCUUUAGCAGAUUAAUUUUGUAUUUGUCUACGCUAAUAAGGAUAUUUGUGUCCUAAGGGACAGCAAAAUGUAUUUAUGUGACGGAAUUUUGUAUCUUGUUGAUCUUUUUGUACUUUGUGGAAGGUAACUAAUCACAUGGACCAUUAUUGCAAUUAGAAACCAUAACGGUUCACAUCAAUAAAACCACUUUAUUUAACGGAAAAAAUUAUGUUUGCUUUUCACAUAUGCAAAAUUUCUUUAUAACAACCGCAAUCAGACACGCUGCAAACUCGUAGCUCAACACUCGUAGUGCAUGUUGUAACUAUCUUGACCUUUGACAUUUUGGCCAACUUUUGGAUAAGACUGCAGUUUAUUAGAAAAGUCUCCCAGACUCACAUUUUUUUAUUUUAUUUAAAACAGCAAAUUCAGUAAUUGAUGUUUUGAAUUUCGAACAAAAAAAUAGUCAAAUUUGUUUCUUAAAGUGUGAAACUCUAAAAAAUUAAUUUUGCGCGACAAAUUAAAAAUUUAAAUUUAAUCCAUAAAUAUAUAAAACGUAUAACAAAUUAAUUUUACGAAUAAUUUACUAACAAUUUGAUUCCUAAACUUUGUAAUUUAAUGUUAAAUCAGUCCUCGAAAAAUAUAAUUUAUCGUUAAAUUGAUCGUUGAACAUUAUAAUUUAAUAAUAAAAUAAUCUCACAAAUUUAAUAUUAGAACUAAUUUGUUAUACUUUUUGUAAAUUCAAUGACUGAAUUUAUAUUUUUCAUGUUUGAGGAAAUAAUUUAUUGGCGAAUAACACUUUCGGGAAGGGUUUGACUAUUUAUAAAAAAAAAUAUGGAAAGAGACUGAUAUGGGUAGUUUAUUAGUAAAAAAAUAAUAUAAAAAUAAAAAACAAAUUAUUAUAAUAUGAUUGUUUAAUUUUGAAAUGUUUUAUUAAAUUGAAGUCAUAUUAUUUGAAAGACAUCAAGUCAUAUGCAUGUAACAAUUUUCAAUGUCACGUGACUUUUUUGUUUUAAUUAUACUGCUAUAUAUUAAUUAUAAAAUAAAUAAGUUUAAAUAAAAAAUCAAAUUUAAAAUAAAGAGUCAGUUUUCUCUGUUUGCACUACAUUCAGGAUCCAUAUGUGUCUUUUUCUUCACUACAGUGGUAGGCUAUCUUCUUUCAUCACUUGGUAACCAGUUCUUUGAGAAAUGUAAAAAAGAAAAAAAAAGUGAAAAUUCAAGAAAAAAUCAAUUUAAAUUUUCCAGUAAUUGCAAUUGAACAUCACUCCCAUGUUUCGAUAAGUGUUACCAAUGAAAAGAAGAUCAAAGAGGGAGAUACAUCAUGUAUGCAUGAUAAACACUUGCGUAAUAAAGUCGGUCUUCAAAAAGAAAUUAUUUAAAUAUAAGUAUGAAAUUAAUUAAUAUAAAAGAUUGUAAAUUUAUAAUAUAUGACUAUAAUAAUUAAAUAACAACAUAAAAAAACUUUUAACCCAUGUAUUCUACUUAAAUUCUUCAACUAUAUAUUUAUUACCUUCUUCUUUCUAUAAGAUUGUUUUAAUUAAUUUACAAGAAUUAAAAAAAUUGGUGAAUUUAAUUAGUGAUAUUAAAAUUAUUAUAAAUUUGCAUUGUAAAAAGUAUUAUGAAAUUAGUAGCCUUUAUUGUUUAUUAACUACUCCUAUAAAGUAAUUAAAUUCUCGUCUAAAAAAUUAAAUCCUAUAAAAAGGUGAAAUAAUUAAAUAAUGUCUAUAAAAUGGCAUCUAGGGAGGUAGUAUGUGGUACAAAACCAUAUAAAGAUGGCGAAUUAGUUAAGGGCAUCAAAAGUGAAAAGAACAACGACGACGCGGCCUAGAAAGACCAAAUGAAAAAGACUUUGUUUUCUUAACUCACGUUUGUAGUUGUCGCAGAAGCCAUUCGGAUUUCGAUUACAUUAAGGAAUUGAACCAAAUGAACCUAUAUAUACUACACAUGCAUAUUUGCUUCCACAGUUUCCAAUUUCAUAUCCUCUUACCGUUAAACUUAAACCCUUUGGUUGUAUAAGAAAAACUUCAUCAUCAUCAUAAUGAGCAGUCACUCCAAUAUUGAGCAAGAAGCCCCUGGUGAGUCUUUAUUAUAUCAUUCAAAACGUUCCUAUUUUGGAACAAUAAAACAUGCAUGGUUUCCUGUGUUAUAUUUUCACUUUAUCCAAAUCGAUCGGCCAUCUUUACAUGCUCAAUAUUCAGUAAUGUCUACUUUGUCUUCCUUAAAUUAAUGUCCUAGUUAGAUUUAACAUAAAGCUUAAGCUCUAGAUAAUUUAUUAAUGAGAAAAAAAAAUUAUACACUAACAUGUUUUAUAGUACCAUUCAAUUACAAUUUAUUUGUUAUAAUAAAUUUAUUAAUUUUUAUAAUAAUUAUUUUAAAAAUCAUACGAACAAUAAUUUAAGAUUAAAUAUAACAUGUAAAGGUAUUUUAUAUCAUCAUAAAUAACUAUUAAAUUAUUUGUUAAUUUUCAUAUGAAUUGUGGAUAUCUUUCUAAAUGUAAAGACAUAAUAUUACGAUGAAGCAGUAUCAUAUCCAGCACCUUCUGCCACACCACCUAUGGGUUAUCCUUCCAAGGAUGGUCCUGCAGCUGUAGGGUACACCCAACAAAGACUUCCAGAGGAAACCAAAACCAGGGGUGAUGGAUUUUGGGAGGGAUGGUGAGUAUUGAUUGCCAAAAUCACUACACCUUAAUUUUAUUUAGUUCUAACUUUUCAUAAACACAUAUUUUAUUAUUUUAUUUUAUUUUGACCAUUUUUCUUUUUCUCUUUUCUUGCAGUUGUGCUGCUUUAUGUUGCUGCUGUGUCCUGGAUUGUUGCUUCUGAUUGAAUCAUAGCACGGAUUUGUGUUUGUCGAUCAUUUCACAUUGCCAGCUUUCUAGUGUAUUCUUUGUAGUAGUUUGUGGAAGAACAAGAAUUUAUGUCCUCUUGGACAGCGUGUAUUUUAUAUCCUUUGGCCGAUGCUGUUCUUUUUUCGUUAUACUUUGAAUUUUACCUUUGUAUUAUGUAUAUUUAGUCAUUUUGUAUUAGUAAGAAAAAAGUUAUCAUAAAAUUAUUGCGUUGACAUUCUAACGGUUGAUAUAGUAGUGUUAGUAUGAUCUUAUUGAUAAAUAACUUUACCUUUUUAACGUAUACUAGGGGUUUGAUUCUCAAGUUUGUGUAUGAAAAAAAAGAUACAUUGAUCUACCCAAAAAUUCUAAUAGUGGACUUAAUUUGAUGUCGCAUCUUAAACAGUUUUGAUAAUAUGGAUUUAAAUUUUUUUUUAAAAUAGUUAUAUUAAAACUUAAGAUGUGUUUGGAAUAGAUACUAAAAUUAAAUUAUUUCAAUUGAAUUAAAUUAUGAUCUAUGUUAUAUAAAAAUAGUUAAUUUAUUACUUACCCGUCAUUUAUUUAUUUUUCUGUAAAGUAAUCCACGUAUAAAGCACUCUAUAACAUGAGGAUGAUUGGUUGUUCCGAGGUAGAGGUCUUCAAAAAAUUGAGAGGGAUUAAAAUUCCACUCAAGGUGUAUUUUUAUUGUGGAGAAUAUUUUUUAAUAGGAUCCCAGCAAAAAUGAACUUACUUAGAAGGCAUAUCAACAUUCAAGCUCAAGAGUUACUUUGUGUAUUUUGUAAUGACAUGCCGGAAGACACAUCACACUUCUUGUUCAAUUUCACAACCUCACAAAAUAUUUGGAAAAGAUGGUAUUAUUUGAUUGGGCUAAGUUCGGCACUUCCUCAUACACCUAUUAAGCACUUUUGCCUACACUCUCAUGGAUGGUGGGUUGGUGUUCCAUUAUUUUGGAAUUUAUGGUUACAUAGAAAUGCAAUUGUUUUAAGGACAUUCUCUGGAUAAUGAGAAGUUGUGGCAUAAUAUACUGUUUUUGGCAUGUUCAUGGCUUAAGGGCCUCCAUAAACACCCUUGAUUUGUAUUUUCUUAGAUGGUGCAGUGUUGAACUUGUUACUGUAUUUUUAUUUUACAGCACUACUGGUGCUUUUUAAUGAAAUCAUUAUCGCUGAUUAAAAAAAAAGUAUAAAUCCCCUUCUGGGUUUUUUACUAGUAUUUUAGUAUGAACAUAUAUUUUUAUAUAACUAAAAUUUAUAAUAAAUAAAUAUUUUUAAUACAUAAAUUAUUUUAUAAUAAAUAAAUUUUGUUAAUAUAUAAACUAUAUUUUAGACUUAGGAUAAGUAAUUUAUAUUAUGAUAUACAAUUAUUUUUUUACCUAUUUAAUUUUUAAAAUAAAGAUAUUGAAAUUUAAUUUUAAAAAAAUAGAAAUAAUCAAUUUGAUAACAUGUGAUAAACUGAAAGAUGUCACGUCUUAUAAAUAUUUGUCAACUCAAUCAAAAUUAACACGAUUAGUAAAAAAAAACUGAUGAAUUAACUAUUUUGAUCUAACAAAAUAUUGUAAUCCCAAGGGUGAUUGCCACGCCUAGUGUCAAUCUUCCCUUAUUUAUUCUAUUAAAAUAUCUCUGGUUGUGCUGAAAAAUGAUAAAGUGAAACUUUAAAAAUUUAAGAGGCUACUCUAAAACCAAUAAUUCAAAUAAGAGACAUUAUAUUUGAAGUUUUUACAAAUGUUCAAAAUGGUCUAUUAACGUUUUUUGUUAGUACUAUAAUGGUAAGAAUAAAUUUGAAUCAUUUUCAAAACAUAAAGGAUUGAAGAAAAAAUUUAGGAGAUUGAUGCAGAUUAAAUUGAACAAAUAAAAAUAAAAUAAAGGGCUGAAAGUGAAUUUUAGCCUUAAUUAUGUGACCAAAUCUUUUGAGACGGAUCCAGAACAAAUGUUGUACUAUUAAAAUCAUACUUUUUCUUUUCUUUUUCAAGAUAAAUCAUACUUAUUUCAGAAUGGAGGAAAAGGCACAAUAAACUAAACUUCAAGGAAAUGAUAGGGAGAAAAUUAGAAAGAAAAUAAGUUUCACAUAGGUUUAUCUAGUGCAAAAUCAUAUAAAGAAUGUAAAUGAAGUGCAUGAAGAAAAGACCAACGCCAACGCAGACAACAAAGACCGAUUGUACAUGAAAACCAUUUAGAAUAAAAAAUUGUGAAUUAAUUUCGAAGAAUAAGAAAUGUGAUACGUGCCAAGCCAAUUGUACAUCCACCUGGCAACAGAGGUUCUAAUGCAUAUUCGCUUCCAUAGUUUCCGAUUUCACAUCCUCUUAUUGUUAAUUAAACCCUUUGUUUGCACAAGAAAAGAGUAAUAACUUGAUCAUCAUCAACAUGAGUCGCUUCAACAAUCAGCAAGAAGCCCCUGGUGAGUUUUGAUUAUAAUAUCAUUCAGCAAAAUGGCACAGCAUAAUAUGGUUUCAUAUGUGAAUUUUCAUUUGAUCCAAAUCAAUUGACACCGUAUUUGCAUGCUCAAUACUCAAUAAUAUGUACUUUCUUUUACAUAAAGCUAAAGCUAAAAUUAAUUUGUUACUUUCCUUGAGAAUUGUGAAUAUCUUUCUAAAUGUGGGAUUAAUGACAUGAUAUUUUGAUGCAGCAGUAUCAUAUCCUCCAGCUCCAUAUGUUAGUGCCCCACCACCUAUGGGUUAUCCUUCCAAAGAUGAUCCUACAGCUGUAGGGUACCCCCAACAAAGAGUUCCAGAGGAAACCACAAGCAGGGGUGAUGGAUUUUGGAAAGGAUGGUAAGUUCAUACAUAGCAAAAAUCACUGCACCUUCUAUUUUCAUAAACAUGCACCAAAUAUUUGUUUUAAUUACCUUCUUUUCUUGUAGUUGUGCUGCUUUAUGUUGCUUCUGGGUCCUGGAUUGUUGCUUCUGAUUGAAUUAUAGCACAUAUUUGUGUUUGUCACCAUGUUUUUUUUUUUUCACAUUGCUAGUUUCCUAUUUGUAUUCUUUGUAGUUUAGAAGAAUAAAGAUCUUUGUCCUCUUGGACAGCUUGUAUUUUAUCCAUUUGGUUGAUGUUGUUCUUUUUCCUUGUACUUUGAAUUUUUUUAUGAUGUAUUUAGUUAUUAUAAUAAGAUUUUUUUUAUUAAUAAGACAAAAGUUAUCAUUAAUUGUUGAGUUUGAGAACAUUCUAGUAGCUUAACUAACUUGGUGUUUCAAUUUCAGACACCUUUGCUACAUAUAUGAAUGAUAAUUAAAUACCAAUUCAACAAGGAACUUGCCUCAAAAAAAUAAAACAAGUAACUAUUAUAAAUACUUAUGAAAGAGAGAGGAAUUGAUCAUUAAAUUAAUUUGGUUGUAUGAGGAUUUUAGUAUCCAACUCGUUCUAUACAUAUUAGUUAUGUAAAAUGUUAUAUUUAAGACUAAUAUACAAAUUUGAUUUUUCUAGUUUUUUAAUUUAUAAUUUUGGUAGUUCUAUUAAAAAUAAAGCCAUUUAAUUCAAAUAGAGGCAUUUACUUUCUAGGUUAAAAAAUUAAAAAAAAAUUGGUUUGGGUGUCUUAAUCAAUAAGUUGAGUGUUAAGUUAUUAACGUUAAUUAUGUUUUUAUUUUAUUUAUUGAUGAUAGGAAGAUUCAAUUUAAUAAAUUAUUAUUUAAUUGAAUGAUGUAUUUAGAUGUUUAUUAUAAUGACUAAAAAUUAAAUAAAUAUGAUAUUUAAUUGAAUAUUAUAUUUAGAUGUUUUUUAUAAUAAUUGAUAGUUAAAUAAAUUUGAUAUUUUUUACAUCUGUAAAUACUUAUUAAACCUAUCAUUUUUAUUUAUAAUUUAUAUAUGAAAACAAGUUAAUUAUUAUAUAAAAAAUAAUUAUCACAAAAUUUAUUAUGUAAAUUUACAUAUAUGUUAAAUAUAAAUUAAAAAAUUUAGUGUUAUAUAUAAUGAUAUUAUUUGUUUAUAACAUAAUGUGUUUAUUAGCUUAGUUGAUUUAAGUAUUUUAUUAAUAAAGUAAGUGACAUAAGUUCGUUCCCUUAUUGGACAAUUAAUUUUAAAUUAAAUCGUAAAUUAUAUUUUUGAAAAAUAAAAAUAAAUCUUAUGGGUCACAUACAAAUUGACAAUCCGUAGGUCCAAUAUGGAUUAACAAUCCGUAUAAUCAUGCCAAUCCAGAUUGUUGAUCCGUAUGUGUAUAUCAUUUUUUUUUUACCUUUCCUUCUUUGACGAUGAAAACUGACCCAAAAAUUACCGUAUACUCUUAACAAAUGUAUGUACACCACCAGAAAUCAAAUAUGCUCCCAAAUCACCCUUAACAAAAGCAAAUUACACUAAAUGACAGAAAUUUUACAAAAAAAAAAUGACACUACAAAAAUGAAAUAAUCCUGCUGCUAUUUAUAACUGAAAAUAUCAUAAGGGUAUUUUCAGCAUCUUAGAAAAUUGCUGGGUAUUCCAAGCAAUUUCCUUUUUUUCUCCUUACCUAAUUAAUUUUGUAGUUGUCUACUGUAAUAAGGAUAUUUGUGUCCUCUAGGACAGCAAAAAUUUACUUAUGUGACCGAAUUUGUAUCUUGUUGAUUUUUUGUACUUUGGAAAGGGUAAUUAAUCACAUAAACCAUUAUUGCAAUCACUAAUUAGAAUUACCUAAAACAUCACUAAUUAGAAGCCAUAAUGCUCUUGCUCAUAAUUUAUAAAAAAGAAAAAGACAAAAGAAACACGUCACGCCCCCAUAAAAGUUUAAUUCCUUAAAAAAAAAUAGUUUAAUAUUUUCAAUCAACAAUUUGAUAUGUGUUAUUAACCGAUUGAAUGUAUAAUUCAAAGAAUUCAUACAGUAGUUUAAAAUUUUAUUAUGUUCACAUGAAUAAAACUACUUUAUUUAACGAAAAAAAUUAUUAAAUAUUUAGAGUGGUGGUGAGAUAAACUAAAAUCAAUUAUUAUAUCAUGAUGGAUGUAAAACAACAUAUAAUUACUUUAGAAAAAUUAUGGUGAUAUUGUUUUGAGAAAAAUUAUCUCUGUUUCCCAAACACACUCUAUGUUUGCUUUUCACAUAUGUAAAGUUUCUUUAUAUCAACCGCAAUCAGACACGCUGCGAAGUCGUUAGUUGGGAGACAUCCACCAUACCUAGAGUCCAAAUUAAAAAAACUGGUUGAAUGUACGUUAUUAAUUCAUAAAAGUUCCAAGGAAAUGAAUAGGUGCAUAGUAGAUGGAUUAGCUCAACACUCGUAGUGCAUGUUGUAACUAUCUUGACCUUUGACAUUUUGGCCAACUUUUGCAUAAGACUGCACUUUAUUAUAAAAGUCUCCCAGACUCACGUUUUUAUUUUAUUUAAAACAGCAAAUUCAGUAAUUGAUGUUUUGAAUUUAGAACAAAAAAAAUAAUCAAAUUUGUUUCUUAAAGUGUGAGACUCUAAAAAAAUUAGUUUUGCACAAUAAAUUAAAAAAUUUAAAUUUAAUUUAUGAAUAUGUAAAAAAUAUAAUAAAUUAGUCUUACAAAUAAUUUAAUGAUAAUUUGAUUCCUAAAUUUUAUAACUUAAUAUUAAAUCAAUUCUCAAAAGAUAUAAUUUAUCAUCAAAUUAAUCCUUAAAUAUUAUAACUUAAUAAUAAAAUAAUCUCACAAAUUUAACAUUUGAACUAAUACUUUUUGUAAAUCCAAUGACCGAAUUUAUAUAUAUUUUUCAUGUUGAAACAAUUUAUUGCCGAAUAACACGUUCGGGAAGGGUUUGACUAUUUAUAAAAAAAUAUAUGGACAGAGACUGAUAUGGGUUGUUUAUUAGUAAAAGAAUAAAAAUAAAAAACAAAUUAUUAUAAUAUGAUUGUUUUGAAAUGUUUUAUUAAAUUGAAGUCAUAUUAUUUGAAAGACAUUAAGUCAUGUAACAAUUUUCAAUGUCACUUGUGACUUUUUUGUUUUAAUUAUUCUGCUAUAUAUUAAUUAUAAAAUAAAUAAGUUUAAAUAAAAAAAUCAAAUUUAAAAUAAAGAGUCAGUUUUCUCUGUCAGCACGCUACAUUCAGGAUCCAUAUGUGUCUUUUUCUUCACUACAGUGGUAGGCUAUCUUCUUUCAUCACUUGGUAACCAGUUAUUUGAGAAAUGUAAAAAAGAAAAAAAAAAGUGUAAAGAUAUUUAUACAUUAACAUAUUUUAUAGUAUCAUUCAAUUACAAAAUUUAUUUUAUAAGAUAAAUUUAUUUAUAAUAAUUAUUUUAAAAGUUAUACCAACAAUCAUUUAAGAUUAAAUAUGACAUGUAAAGGUAUUUUAUACCAUCAUAAAUGACUAUUAAAUUAUUUGUUAAUUUCCAUAUGAAUUGUGGAUAUCUUUCUAAAUGUAAAGACAUAAUAUUACGAUGAAGAAGUAUCAUAUCUAGCACCAUCUGCAACACCACCCAUGGGUUAUCCUUCCAAGGAUGGUCCUGCAGCUGUAGGGUACACCCAACACAAAGACUUCCAGAGGAAACCAAAACCAGGGGUGAUGGAUUUUGAGAGGAAUGGUGAGUAUUGAUUGCCAAAAUCAUGACCACUACACCUUAAUUUUAUUUAGUUCUAACUUUUCAUAAACACAUAUUUUUUUAUUUUGACCAUUUUUCUUUUUCUCUUUUCUUGCAGUUGUGCUGCUUUAUGUUGCUGCUGUGUCCUGGAUUGUUGCUUCUGAUUGAAUCAUAGCACGGAUUUGUGUUUGUCAUUUCACAUUGCCAGCUUUCUAGAGUUUUCUUUUUAAUCUUUUAUUUAUUUUUAUUGUUCAAAAUUAAUUUAAAAUAUAAAAAAAAAAUAAGGGAUUAGAAAUGAAAAAAAUAAUUAAGGGACUAAAAAUACUGAGAGAAAAUUAACGAAGGAACCAAGAUUUAUUUUUAAAAAAAUUAAGGCUAAAAAUUUGAAUGUGAAAAAGUUGAGGGAUUAACCUUUAAAAUAAUUAUUUAUUCUUAAAAAUUAUUUUAAAAGUAGACAUUUGCCGCUUAAAUCAAAUAUUAAAUCCUUGCUCCUUCUCUAGCUAGUCUUUUGCUCCGUCUCUUUCUGCUAAUGGAUUGCAUGUGCUCGCGAUCGUUCUCAUUUGAUUCUGCAUGUCCACUUGUUGAUUGCGAUUAGCAGGGACGUUUCUAAUGUGUAUUCGGGGGUGUCACGUGAAGCUAUUAUAUUAGACAAAAACAUGCAACCUAGUCUCUGUCUUUUCACACUGUAAACUUUGGACUCCAUUCAUUCACCUAUUAAUUUUUUUGUACAUCUUUGUUCUUUUGUAAGUCUCUUUUUCCGCUUUUUAUUUUAUUUUUUAUUGCAUUAUUCAUCAUAUUUUUUAUAUUUAUUUUAGAAAUAAAAAGUAGUAUGACGUGUUUAAAAAGAAAGUGACUGAUUAAAAUAAUAUGAAGAUAAAAAAAAGGGAGUAUAAGAUUAUAAUUAUUUAUGCCAAUAUGACCAGGACUGUAACGCGAUUUUUCAAUUGUCCUUUUUGCGCUCUUAUAGUUUUGUUUUGCUCGUUAUUCUUUUUUUUAAAAAAAGUAUAAUAUGUUUUUUUACAUUUGUUUUAGAAUAAUAAAAAGUAGGAUGGUGAGAUUAACAAGAAAGUGAGAGAAUAAAAGAAUAUCAAGAAAAAAGGAAUGUAUGAUGAAGACAUAUAACUGUGUAAGAUUGUGAAUCUUUCUUCUGUGUUAUGUUUUUUCAUCCACAAUGUUAUUCAAUUCAAUUACAUAUUAAUCUUUCUCCUAUUUAUUUCCAUAUAAUCUUAUUCUUUUUUUUAUUCACUUAUCACAUUUAAUAACAGAACUCAAUAUAGAUUUUAUAAUUUUUUGGAAUUUUAACCGUAUGCAACUAUGCAUGGUUGGCAUUGGCCGUAAUGACUAACUUGAUCUAGAGCAACUUGGCAUUGGCCGGUCCACUUGUUGCCGUUGAGGGUUGUUCCUUCUCAAUAUAGAUUUUUAUUCACUUAUCCCAAAAAAUCUAUUUAUAUAGACGCCAUCUUCCGAUGCUUCCCACAAUCAGCUAAUCCCACACUCUCUUUUCUCUACCUACAAAAAAAAAAAAUCAUCUAAGUUCUAACGAUGAAUCACCAACAACAAUCUCCUGGCAAGUCUCUCGUGUAUAUAUAUUUUUUAUACUGGAUAAUUAUCAAUAUUCCUUCAUCAUAAUUGAUCUCCAUCAUUUGGAAAAAUUCUUUCUCAGUUUCAUACCAAAUAUGCAUGUUUUAUAUCAUAGAAUUAAUGGAUGGGUUGAUCAUAUUUGGGUGUUUAAUUACAAAUCCAUGUUUUAUAUUCAAAGCUAGAAUUAUAAAUUUCUAUAGGAAGAUAUAUAUUGAUCACUUAAAUUAGAAUUCAAUGGAUAUACACAGUAUAAAAGAUUUUAUGCAACUCAUCAGUUAAAAAUCUGUUUUGACGGAACUUAAAGGAUGAUUAUUAUUAAAAUUAAGAAACUUAUUAUACAUAAUAGUUUAUGAUUAAAGAUUUUAUUAGUAGUGAAGGAAGAAAAAGAAAAGAGAAAUUAUGAGUUUAAAUUCCUACUAACAAAAAGUUAAUGAUCAUUAUUUUUUAAAUUGAUAAAUAUUAGUCAUUAGAAUAUUUAAUUUUUGUUAACAGAAAAAAUUAAACUCUCGUGACUUUUUCUUUUUUUCUUUUUCCCAUAACCAAUAAUAUUUAUGGAUAAAAAAUAUAAUUUAUAAUUGAAAAGGAGCAUAAGAAAAUAUUGUACAUAAAUUAUAUCUAAGUGGUGUUGUAUUUUCCAGCAGUGACUGCAUAUCCAGCAGGGGCUCAGAGCAACCUAGCAGCUCCACCACCACCUGUAGGUUAUCCCACUAAGGAUGAUCUUCCUUCCCAACAAAAUGUUCCUGUCAAAACCACUACCAGGGGUGGUGGCUUCUGGAGCGGAUGGUCAGUUAAUUUAUAUCCAAAAUCUUACUUCGUCUAAAUAAUUAAGUCAAUUUUUUGUGAAAAGAUCUAAUUUAAUUGACUGAAGAAUGCAUGCAUCAAUUGUUAUAAAUUUUAAUAAUAUUUUUAUUCCUACCGAUAAAAAAAAAUUAAUUCAUUAAUCAAGAGCACUUUACAUCAUCUCAUCAUGUUUUGAUUUCUCAAAAGCAUGUACUUUCUUUUUCUUG